GUAAGCGCGUUAGUUAGCAAUUAUACCGUGAAACUGCGAAUGGCUCAUUAAAUCAGUUAUCGUUUAUUUGAUAAUACCUUACUACUUGGAUAACCGUGGUAAUUCUAGAGCUAAUACAUGCUGAAAAUCCCGACUUCGGAAGGGAUGUGUUUAUUAGAUAAAAAACCAAUGCCCUUCGGGGCUUUUUGGUGAUUCAUGAUAACUUUACGGAUCGCAUAGCCUUGCGCUGGCGACGGUUCAUUCAAAUUUCUGCCCUAUCAACUUUCGAUGGUAAGGUAUUGGCUUACCAUGGUUUCAACGGGUAACGGGGAAUUAGGGUUCGAUUCCGGAGAGGGAGCCUGAGAAACGGCUACCACAUCCAAGGAAGGCAGCAGGCGCGCAAAUUACCCAAUCCCGACACGGGGAGGUAGUGACAAUAAAUACUGAUACAGGGCUCUUUUGGGUCUUGUAAUUGGAAUGAGUACAAUUUAAACCUCUUAACGAGGAACAAUUGGAGGGCAAGUCUGGUGCCAGCAGCCGCGGUAAUUCCAGCUCCAAUAGCGUAUAUUAAAGUUGUUGCAGUUAAAAAGCUCGUAGUUGAAACUUGGGCCUGGCUGGCGGGUCCGCCUCACCGCGUGCACUCGUCCGGCCGGGCCUUCCUUCUGAAGAACCUCAUGCCCUUCACUGGGCGUGCUGGGGAAUCAGGACUUUUACUUUGAAAAAAUUAGAGUGUUCAAAGCAGGCCUUUGCUCGAAUACGUUAGCAUGGAAUAAUAAAAUAGGGCGUGCGGUUCUAUUUUGGUGGGUUCUAAAGACGCCGCAAUGAUUAACAGGAACAGUCGGGGGCAUCAGUAUUCAGUUGUCCGAGGUGAAAUUCC
rnacentral:rRNA from 1 species